rnacentral:rRNA from 1 species
AGGAUGAACGCUGGCGGCGUGCUUAACACAUGCAAGUCGAACGGUGAAGUGAGGAGCUUGCUCCUUGCGGAUCAGUGGCGAACGGGUGAGUAACACGUGAGUAACCUGCCCUUGACUCUGGGAUAAGCGUUGGAAACGACGUCUAAUACCGGAUACGACCUCCGAAGGCAUCUUCUGGAGGUGGAAAGAAUUUCGGCUAGGGAUGAACUCGCGGCCUAUCAGCUUGUGGUGAGGUAACGGCUCACCAAGGCGACGACGGGUAGCCGGCCCUGAGAGGGCGACCGGCCACACUGGGACUGAGACACGGCCCAGACUCCUACGGGAGGCAGCAGUGGGGAAUAUUGCGCAAUGGGCGAAAGCCUGACGCAGCGACGCCGCGUGGGGGAUGAAGGCCUUCGGGUUGUAACCCCUUUCAGCAGGGACGAAGCGAAAGUGACGGUACCUGCAGAAGAAGCGCCGGCUAACUACGUGCCAGCAGCCGCGGU